GGUAGCAUGCAUCUUAUGUCCAUACAGGUUAUGCUACGCUGAAGCAGAGGUUUGAACUCUGGGCUACAGGAAAGCCAAAACACAAGAGAUAACCUGGGCGUUAUGUAUUUGGGGAGUGCUUACACACCCCUGGUAAUCGAUGACUUCAUGAAAGUAGCUUCUCACCCAAGGUCAGCGCAUAACAAUUCCUUCUCAUACAAGCGGAGAACAACACAUCACAUCUUGGGGGACUGAGGAAGCAGGAGAGGAAAGCAGGGCAGAUUUUAUUAAAGGGUAAUAUGUAGAAGAUGAUAACUUUGCAUCUGGCUUUGUCACCCAAAUACCAACCUGUUCAACUCCUCCACACAGAACCACUGUGAAAAAUUGGGACUUGAUGCAUGUACGUAGCACCGAACCUGCUGAAGGACCCUGGGUCUUCCCCACGGAUUCUGGCGGUCGUGACGAUGAAGAGCCUGUCUUGUGCACUUGGACCCAGUGCCUCGCACAAAAGUGUUCACUUGCUGGGCUGAGGCUAGUCUCUGGCUGAGUUUGGACCCAGGGGUGGAGUUUUUAAUCCUCUAGAAGAAGCCGCGAAGGGAACUGGAUCGAUACCUGGAUGGAAACUGAAAAGGA